rnacentral:rRNA from 1 species
UGAAUGGCUUGACGAGAAAUCAACUGUCUCUUAAUAAUUUUUAAAAUUUAACUUUUGAGUCAAAAGGCUUAAAUUUUUCUUUAGGACGAGAAGACCCUAUAGAACUUAACAUUUUAUUUUUAUAUAGUUUUUAGUUGAUCUUUCUAUAUUUAAUGAUAAUGUUUUGUUGGGGUGACAUGAAGAAUAAUUAAACUCUUCAUUAUAAAAUCAUUGAUUUAUGUUUAUCAUGAUCCAUAAUUUAUGAUCAUAAGAUUAAGUUACCUUAGGGAUAACAGCGUAAUUGUUUUCGAGAGCUCAUAUCGACAAAGCAGAUUGCGACCUC